CCACAAACAACACACACACCUCUCCUAUCCACAUAAUUCACUGUCUUCUAUCUCUUUCUUCCUUUUCUUUUUCCUGUGGAAUCGUGCCCUAGCUUGCACUGUAACAUGUUAAAAAAGAAACAUAUAUGCAUGCGGGAAUAUACAAGAUUUAUAAGGGUGUUCUACAGUAUGCGUGCACCGCAAUAUUUCUCUCUGCUCAUCUCUGAAUAAAGCCUUCCUAUAUGCAAAUACUAUUUUUUUAUUAUUAUAAUUAUAUAUAAAAGAAGGGUGUAGAGAUUCAAGCUUAAAAUCAUUGUCCGAAAACAUUGUAUAAUUUUACUAUUGUUGUCCCUAUAAAGACCAAAUACGACUCUUCCGACCUUAAUUGCUGAGAUCAUCAAAAUCUUUUUAAUUAAUUAAAAAAAAAAAUCUCCUUUUGAUGAUCACCAUGCCUAUUGAUGCCUUUGAGUUAGUAAUGAAGACGAAAGUAGUUGAGCAGAAGCCGGUGCAGAUUAUUAGGUUUGUCUCCUUUCAGAUUCUUCAUGAGGCGGCCUGCAACUACUGCUGGAGCUCUAAAUAUUCCCUAUAUGCCCCAGUUGAAGAACUUGCAGGUUUCUCCAAAACCCUAGAGUUUUAAUCAUGGAUAUAUAUGGAUAUAUGGAUAUAUGUUAUAUCACAUAUCUCUAUCUAUAUAUUCAGGUGGGGAAUCAAGCGUUCAUGGUCCGAAAACAGUUUCUUCUUCUUCUUCUUCUUCUUUUUCUUUUUUUAAAUUAUUUUGUGUUUUUUGAUCGAGUGUGCAACAAAUAUCAUACCAUGUUGCUGCACUUUGAUAAUUGCUUUGUAGGAUAGCUAAUAUAGCCAAGUAUGUUUGUUGAUAGCUUAUAUAGCCAAGAUGGGUUUGCUAGGUUGUAUUACGAGUGUUUAGAAAAUAAUAUUAAUAGUGAAUUAUGAAUGAUCAUAAUUAAUAUUGUUCAUGUACUUUAAAGUUGGAUAAGUGAAUGUAAGCAAGACCUGCAGUUUUUUGGCUGUAAUAUAUAUAUAUAUAUAUAUAUAUAUAUAUAUUUCAUGAUUUCUUCUUAUUAAUGUAUGUUGAAGUUAAAUUUUGUUUA